rnacentral:rRNA from 1 species
AAGAAAGUAAAUAAGGGCGUAUGGGGGAUGCCUAGGCUCUUGGAGGCGAAGAAGGACGUGGAAAGCUGCGAAAAGCCUCGGGGAUUUGCAAACAGGAAUUGAUCCGAGGAUAUCCGAAUGGGACAACCCGGCAGGUUGGAGGCCUGUCACCCGGAGACGGGAGCUAACCCUCUGAACUGAAACAUCUAAGUAGGAGGAGGAAAAGAAAGAAACAUCGAUUGCCAAAGUAGCGGCGAGCGAAAUGGCAACAGCCCAAACCGAUAAUGUUACGGCAUUAUCGGGGUUGUAGGACUGCGCGAUUCAAAGAUCGAAGAACUGGAAUGUUCUGGAAAGUUCAUCCACAGAGAGUGAAAGACUCGUACAGGUAAUUCAGAUUGGCGAUAGCAGUAUCCUGAGUAUGGCGGGACACGAGGAAUCCUGUCAGAAACAGCCGGGACCACCCGGUAAGGCUAAAUACUCCCAAGAGACCGAUAGUGAACCAGUACUGUGAAGGAAAGGUGAAAAGAACCCCGAACAGGGGAGUGAAAAAGAACCUGAAACCAUACGCUUACGACCGGUCGGAGCCACUUCGUGUGGUGACGGCGUGCCUAUUGAAUAAUGAGCCUACGAGUUACUAAUCACUAGCGAGGUUAAGUGCCAGGAGGCACGGAGCCGAAGCGAAAGCGAGUCUGAAUAGGGCGGUUAGUUAGUGGUUGUAGACGCGAAACCUUGCGAUCUACCCUUGGUCAGGUUGAAGGUUGGGUAACACCAACUGGAGGACCGCACCAAUAAACGUUGAAAAGUUUCUGGAUGAACUGAGGGUAGGGGUGAAAGGCUAAUCAAGCUGGGAAAUAGCUCGUACUCCCCGAAAUGCCUUUAGGGGCAGCGUUGUAAUAAAGAGUCUACUGGAGGUAGAGCUACUGAUUGGAUGCGGGGGCUUCACCGCCUACCAAAUCCUGACAAACUCCGAAUGCCAGUAGUAUGAUUUACAGCAGUGAGCCACCGGGUGCUAAUGUCCGGUGACAAAAGAGGAACAACUCAGACCAACAACUAAGGUCCCCAAGAAUAUGCUAAGUUGAACUAACGAUGUUUUGUUGCAGAGACAGCUAGGAUGUUAGCUUGGAAGCAGCUAUUCAUUCAAAGAGUGCGUAACAGCUCACUAGUCGAGCGACAGAGCGUGGAUAAUGAACGGGCAUCAAGCAUAUCACCGAAGUUUUGGGCGCGAGAGCGCGGUAGGGGAGCAUUCCAUUCUGCGUAGAAGCUGAAUCGUGAGAUUUGGUGGAGCGUAUGGAAAAGCAAAUGUAGGCAUAAGUAACGAUAAAGCGGGUCAGAAACCCGCUCACCGCAAGACCAAGGUUUCCUGAUCAACGCUAAACGGAUCAGGGUUAGUCGGGUCCUAAGGCUAAGCCGAACGGCGAUGUCGAUGGACAAUCGGUUAAUAUUCCGAUACUGACAUACACCUCGAUGGAGGGACGAAGGAACGUAAGUGGUGCGAACUGACGGAAUAGUUCGUUAAAGUACGUAGGUAUAUACUCAGAUUAAGAGUUAGAGUAUGCUGAAGUACGACAGUACGGAGCGUCUACGGACAAUCCGAUAAUCCACCCAAGUCGACUUCCGAGAAAAUCUUCUAAGUUUAAGUGUAUGUCACCCGUACCGUAAACCGACACAGGUGGUCGAGGAGAGUAUCCUAAGGUGCUCGAGUGAAUCACGGUUAAGGAACUAGGCAAAUUAACCCCGUAACUUCGGGAAAAGGGGUCCCUGCGAGAGCAGGGCGCAGCGAAGAGGUCCAGGCGACUGUUUAUCAAAAACACAGGGCUCUGCAAAUUCGAAAGAAGAAGUAUAGGGCCUGACACCUGCCCGGUGCUGGAUGGUUAAGAGGGGAUGUCAUCGCAAGAGAAGCAUUGAAUCGAAGCCCCAGUAAACGGCGGCCGUAAC